UACGGAGGGUGCGAGCGUUGUCCGGAAUCACUGGGCGUAAAGGGCGCGUAGGUGGCCCGGUAAGCGUGCGGUGAAAGUUCGAGGCUCAACCUCGAAUCGGCCGUGCGAACUGCUGGGCUUGAGCACUGUAGAGGCAGAUGGAAUUCCGGGUGUAGCGGUGGAAUGCGUAGAGAUCCGGAAGAACACCGGUGGCGAAGGCGGUCUGCUGGGCAGUUGCUGACACUGAGGCGCGACAGCGUGGGGAGCAAACAGG
rnacentral:rRNA from 1 species